rnacentral:rRNA from 1 species
UACCAGCACCCCGAGUGGUCGGGACGAUUAUUGGGCCUAAAGCAUCCGUAGCCGGUCAUGCAAGUCUUCCGUUAAAUCCAGCCGCUCAACGGUUGGGCUGCGGAGGAUACUACGUGGCUAGGAGGCGGGAGAGGCAAGCGGUACUCAGUGGGUAGGGGUAAAACCCUUUGAUCCAUUGAAGACCACCAGUGGCGAAGGCGGCUUGCCAGAACGCGCUCGACGGUGAGGGAUGAAAGCUGGGGGAGCAAAGCCGG